UGGGCAACCUGCCCCUCUCUCUGGGAUAACCCCCGGGAGACCGGAGCUAAUACCGGAUACUCCGGCUGGAUCGCAUGGUCCGGCCGGGAAAGGUCCGCCGGAGAGGGAUGGGCCCGCGGCCUAUCAGCUUGUUGGUGGGGUCAUGGCUCACCAAGGCGACGACGGGUAGCUGGUCUGAGAGGACGGCCAGCCACACUGGGACUGAGACACGGCCCAGACUCCUACGGGAGGCA
rnacentral:rRNA from 1 species